CCGCCAGAGUAUUACGAGCACAGCUUAAAACUCAAAGGACUUGGCGGUGCCCUACCCAACCAGAGGAGCCUGUUCUAUAAUCGAUAAUCCACGCUAAACCUCACCACUUUUUGCAACCUCAGUUUAUAUACCACCGUCAUCAAUUAACCUUGUGAAAGAAACCUAGUUGAUAAAAUCAGUUUAACUAAACACGUCAGGUCAAGGUGUAACACAUAAAGUGGAAAGAAAUGGGCUACAUUUUCUUAAAAAGAAUAUACGGAUAAAUGUUAUUAAAAUACAUUUGAAGGCGGAUUUGGUAGUAAAAAGAAAUAAGCAUAUUCUUUUUAAUUUGGCUAUAAGGCGCGC
rnacentral:rRNA from 1 species